UGAGAAUAGGGGAACCGGGGCGUCUGA
rnacentral:piRNA from 1 species